rnacentral:rRNA from 1 species
GACGAACGCUGGCGGCGUGCUUAACACAUGCAAGUCGAACGGAAAGGCCCUGCUUUUGUGGGGUGCUCGAGUGGCGAACGGGUGAGUAACACGUGAGUAACCUGCCCUUGACUUUGGGAUAACUUCAGGAAACUGGGGCUAAUACCGGAUAGGAGCUCCUGCCGCAUGGUGGGGGUUGGAAAGUUUCGGCGGUUGGGGAUGGACUCGCGGCUUAUCAGCUUGUUGGUGGGGUAGUGGCUUACCAAGGCUUUGACGGGUAGCCGGCCUGAGAGGGUGACCGGCCACAUUGGGACUGAGAUACGGCCCAGACUCCUGCGGGAGGCAGCAGUGGGGAAUAUUGCACAAUGGGCGGAAGCCUGAUGCAGCAACGCCGCGUGCGGGAUGACGGCCUUCGGGUUGUAAACCGCUUUCGCCUGUGACGAAGCGUGAGUGACGGUAAUGGGUAAAGAAGCACCGGCUAACUACGUG